rnacentral:rRNA from 1 species
UACGUAGGGUGCGAGCGUUAAUCGGAAUUACUGGGCGUAAAGCGUGCGCAGGCGGUUCGUUGUGUCGGCGGUGAAAGCCCCGGGCUUAACCUGGGAAUGGCCGUUGAAACUGGCGAACUGGAGUGUGGCAGAGGGGGGUGGAAUUCCGGCGUGUAGCAGUGAAAUGUGUAGAGAUGUGGAGGAAUACCAAUGGCGAAGGCAGCCCCCUGGGAUAAUAUUGACGCUCAUGCACGAAAGCGUGGGGAGCAAACAGG